UGCUCUCAUCAUUUAAGAAAUUCCUUAUGUUUUAGGAGCUCAGGGCCAGAAAUGGGACAAAGAUCAAAUAUGUAUUUCUUAUUAUAAAGCACAAUAGCACAGAUGCUAACACUAGUGAAUGAAAAUCUGAUGAGGAAUGGGAGAUUUACAUAGACUCAAAAUAUCUUCCCAUAAAUUAUUUAUUAAUUACAAAGGAACAAUAUAACUUUGCAAUGGGGAAAUUUGGCAGACGCUACACUAAUCAAGUGAUCAAAUUUUAAAAUCCUGAUAUAUUGUACUGAGAAGAAUACAACAUCACUUCUGUAGUGUGCCUGUGAAAAUGUAUAACUUGAAUACUCAAGAGAAAAUACUGGACAUUCUACAAAGUAACUAGCCUAUAUUCUUCAAAAAUUUCAAGGUCAUGAAAGACAAGGAAGUGAGAAACUCUCCAGAUGUAAGAAAACUAAAGAGCUGUGACAACUAAAUACAAGGAAAUAUGCACCAGUGUACAGGGGUAAGAAGGCACAACAUCCCCAACCUACUCUUGAGUGAUCAGAAACACAAUCAGGCUUUUAUCUUGCUUCUCCUUCGGGAAAGAAGACCUAGGAUAGCCAGAUUUGGUGGCAGCAAAAGGAUCCAAAGUGAACUUCCAGCAACGUUUGGGGAUGAUGAGACACACAGCCAUGGUCUUAAGGAAGUAGGAAAGCUGAAGGGAUUCCAUUUUAGAAAGUCUCCAUCUCUGCUGUUUUUCUGCUAGGCCCUAUUGACUCAUGUUCCAUAUUUUGUCUCUGAACAAGCCAAAGAAGCUAUCUUCCCACUUCAAGGGGUGAUGAGGGAUAGAAGCAGAAAAAUGUUCGCGUUUAGCCCAGAAGGCUGACCUAUAGCCUGCAUCGUUCCGAUAAGGAUCCAAUAUGUGCUGGUUGCUACAUUCUUAAAGGGUCUUAUGACCACCUGUACUUCUAAUAGUUAAUAUCAAGCUCAAUGAUAAGCACCAGAGAAAUCUUGCAAAAGUAGUUUUAUGAGUAGAAACUGAAAGAAAACAUUUAUGAUCUAAUACUCCCUGCAUGUCCCCUCUCCUUUGAGCACUAAGCAUAUAACCAACCACCAGCUUCAUACAGUAAAAGUUCAGCUCUUUCUGCCCACUCAAUGAUCCUGCAACAGGCAGAGGACAGCAAGUUAAUCACUGAGUUUUGUCCUAGGCCCCAAACACCUGAUAACAUAUAAGAAGAGCCAGAUCCUAAACAUGUCCCAGAACAUUAGCUUCAAACAAACCUCAACUGGUGCUGGCAUCAAUACACUUAUCUUCAGUAAUUUAUGGAAUAACACCUCUUGUUCACCUGACGCUUGCCUUUGACUGUACCCUACUCUGGAUUCCUGGAGGAACAUGUACCUAGACUCUCCUAAUACAAACACCUAACAAUGAUGAGACUCAUUCUUCACUCCUUUCUGAGUCUCCCAGACACUCCGUCUGCUGUUAUCUGUCUGUCACACUA